rnacentral:lncRNA from 1 species
GCACGGUUGUGCGGUGCUGAGAUGCUCUGCUGGGUUUGAGGAGGAGCAAUUACCCGUUCCUUUUUGCUGUGAGAAGCAUUUUGCUGUGAGCCAGUGAAGCAUGCCUGAUGGAAAGCGAGCUGGAUCCAAAACUACGGUGACCUUCUCUGUAAGGCUUUGUUAGUCCACAGAGCUUGCAAAAGAGAUGUGUGGGAUUUUCAGUGUGAGGUUGCUGUGUGCCACUGCAGCAUUUCAAGUGCCUUUGCUCGCAGUGCGGGGAGAUGCCUCUGUUCCUGUCUCUUGCUGGGAAGAAAAUGCAACAAUGCUCUCUAGAGGCAGAAGAAGUCAUGAAGAGGUUCGCUUUGCCCAGCUCUGCAUUUGGCCGUAACCUCAUGCUCUUUGCAGCUGCUCAUUUCCCACGUAAACAGCAAUGUCGGGGCCUUUUGGUGUCUUUUAUCGCAGCUUGGCUUGUUUGCUUUUUCCCCCCAUGGGCCAACUUCAGAAGGUUGUUUUUGGAAUCGCUCUGCUGUUUCUCGGAGAGGUUUUUCAGUGUUGCCAUGACGUCGUCCUCUUGACACGCUGGAGCAGCCCAGCAUGACUUGCGAGGGCAGCGACGUCUUGUCGAAGCAACGCACAAAUGCCAAAUUUCCUGUGUGUAUGGUAUGGUAAGGACUGAAGAGAAGAUGCACAAAUGCAAUGGCUUUGCUUAGAGAAAUGUCUGAGCAAGAGUUCCUGAUGGCUUACACUUUUUCUGAAACAUUUUUCUUUGUGCGGGCUUUCUAUAGAAGACAGGCAGCAGCCUCCCUGGAGCCAAAGGUGGCUUCUCUUUAAUAUGAAAUACUGCUACUGCUGCGAAAUAACGUUCCAACAUGGCAACGAUAUGGUUCAAAUAGUAAUAAUACAAUCAUUGUUUGCACAAAUGACAGCAGUAAAUGAUGUGAAAUGGAAAGAAACCAUUGUUUCAGAAAUGUGCUUUGCUUUCCCGGCGCCCGUUUAGGUCCUCUGUUACGUAACACUUAGUCUGAGUUGCAAAGAAAACGAAGGCUGCGAGAAGCAGGUGGUCUGUCCACCAUGAAAGAAGGAACUUGUAUAAGUCCAUGCACAAUUUGGCUAUUGCUGGAGAAAGGCGGAAGGGAUGAGUUUGCUGCAGGGGCCGCAUGGAUGGCGGCGUGGCAGCCUCCGGUUGUGUCCCCACAGGGUGGAUGUGAGGCCGUCCUCGCUGCAGCCACCCGGCUGGGACCAAGCAGGCAACCACACAGAGAGCAGGGCAGGUGCGCGGCCAAACCCGGGUGCUCCUCCUUGUCACCACUGCAGAGGUACUUGCUGCUGAAAUGAGUCAAAGAAGCACCUUUCUGCCAGUUUUCCUGGUGUGAACUGUGGAAGAACAAAGCUUAAAAAAAAAAAAAAAAAGCAGUUACUCGGAAGAGAUGCUUUCACAUGGGUGCUUUCCAUUCUUCUCCCUACUGGAUAGCACUGUCUUGUUAAAUACCUGUUACUAAUUAGCCUUCCUGUCUCAUGAUUAAAGUCAU